UGGGGAAUAUUGCACAAUGGGCGCAAGCCUGAUGCAGCCAUGCCGCGUGUAUGAAGAAGGCCUUCGGGUUGUAAAGUACUUUCAGAGGGGAGGAAGGCGAUGUGGUUAAUAACCGCGUCGAUUGACGUUACCCGCAGAAGAAGCACCGGCUAACUCCGUGCCAGCAGCCGCGGUAAUACGGAGGGUGCAAGCGUUAAUCGGAAUUACUGGGCGUAAAGCGCACGCAGGCGGUAUGUCAAGUCGGAUGUGAAGUCCCCGGGCUCAACCUGGGAACUGCAUCCGAAACUGGCAGGCUUGAGUCUCGUAGAGGGUGGUAGAAUUCCAGGUGUAGCGGUGAAAUGCGUAGAGAUCUGGAGGAAUACCGGUGGCGAAGGCGGCCCCCUGGACGAAGACUGACGCUCAGGUGCGAAAGCGUGGGGAGCAAACA
rnacentral:rRNA from 1 species